GGGUUCCUUUGUGUAUAUAUAGUAUUGUUAUAACUGAUACAGUAUAUAACAAUAAAAAUAUACACUCUAAAAAACGCUGGGUUGUUUUUUCUACCCAAGCGCUGGGUUGCCUCUGUUGGGUCAUUUUUCUGGGUUAUUUACAGAGAGUUGGGUAGUUUUUGUGUAACCCAGCUGCUGGGUUGAAGUUUGGUGGCCCCUCCCCCAAAGUUCACCGGUGGAUUCAACGGCUGUCAGUCAGAGCUUCGUGUCUCUCUUGAGCUCCCACACCGCUGAUGACGGUUCAUUUAAGGGAAAAUUACGUUAAAUACAAGGUUGGCACCAACAUGGUGGAAUACCUCCAGCAGGCUGAAGUGUCAAGGCCGUACCCCUACUGUACAUCCUGACGUUGGGAGAUAAUGACCAGCGCUGCUCUCAGGCAUUCGUCAUUCUGGUGGGACAGGCCCUGGAGCAAUGCACACUACUUGGGGCGGUUGAUGUGUGCUUCAAGGCAUUUUAUAUUUUUAUAUACUCCAAAGUAGUGUGCUCCUGUAUAGGACCUUUUGUAAUGUUGCUAUGAAAUAGCAAGGCCUACUUGAAAAGUCAUAGACAGUGUUUGUAUGUUAAAACGGAACCAGGGCUGGAUAGUUUUGUUCUGCAGAAAAGAUGUCUAAUGUCACAAAGAGAUCCUGCUCUGUAGAAGCUGCCUCAGCCUAUUUGUGUUAUUACUCCAUUCUGCCCUUAUGAGUAAUAGUAUAGUAAUGAUGUCGCUGUUGAUUAUCUGUUCUUGUGCUUUUGAAAAAUAAACGUUUUUUCUAUGAACAUUUAA